rnacentral:lncRNA from 1 species
UGUGAAAAACUCAGCGUUUCUACAGAUUAGAAAUCGUAGACCCCCCCUCCGUUUUGUAAUAUUGAGAAGGAAGUGGAUCCAGAUUAGAAAAAUUUUGACCAAAAAACCCUCUCCAUAUAAUUGAAAAAUCAGAAUUUGCAACAAAAUUUGUAGAACCCUAGGAUCAGUUUUGAACGAGAACUAUUCUUCACAAACGCAGAAUCACGAACCCACAAAAGCGUCCAGCACACAUUCGGGUACUUCUGCCUCACCGGCCGCCGUAAAUCCGCACCCCUUCGCCGCCGCAUUUAAUCGCUGGAAAAUCUACCAAAUUGCGAGUCGGGGAGGACGGGAUUGAAGAAUCGCAGCUCAAUCUCAAGUGGGCUUCUUCACUCAUUUCCUGCAAAUCAAAAUCAGAGAACACUAAGUUCCGGCCAAGGAUCGAUUAUCAGCCUGCUUCCAGAAUUGACAAAGAACGAGGGUCGCUCGAAGCAGUAUAGCAGUGAGCAUUAAUCAGCCGAUGCAAAGGUAAAAUCACAAGCUUGCUUCUCCUCUUUCAUUUUCUUCAGAAAAGGCAUAAACAAACGGUUGAGAGAGAGAUAUUAUUUUCCCCCAAGAUUUCAGGAUUCCAGAUUAAAAUCAAAGCAUAUUUACCUGUAGUCUGGAUCCUUUGUUUUGCAGCAGUUUCCCAUCUGAUGCUUUAUUUCUUCAAGUGCAAUAAAACACCACUCAUGAAAAAAAAAAAGUUGGAAUUUUAUUUUUAAUUUUUAUAUAAUGCAGGACAAAACCUGGGCUAGAGAUGCUGUGUUAAAUGCAUUACAUGAUCCUUUGCUUGAUAUUGGUAUAGAGAGAGCUACUGGAAUUGUGUGGAAUAUAACUGGUGGUACUGAUCGAACAUUGUUUGAGGUAGCUCAGCCUUCUCCUUAUUUCAUUAUAUAAAAUUCACCAUUUCUGUGGAUCAUCGUGUUUUGCUAUUAGCAAUAGUACUUUUCCCAAUUUUUUCCGUUGGUUAUAAUGGGCCACAACUGAAUAUAAUUUUAUGGUUUGAAUUUCACCAAAAAUCUCUAGGGUUAAUUACUAAUUUUUUGGUGCAGGAAUAUUUGGAGCAUUUUUGGUCAACUUUUUGCUGGAAGAAAAUAUGUGGAAGGAAACCCUACAAUCUAGAAGAUUCGCCUGAUAUUUUUGUAAAUAUAAAUAUUAAUAAGGUUGUAGAAGUAAAACAAACGAUUAAUAUGGGUUUUAUUUUUCUAAACCAAACACAACAUAAAAUUAAUCCAAUGGGCCUUCUUUUAAACCAAACAUGUUAAACUAUACCUCAUGUUUCAAUUUAUCUUUUGUUUUAUCUCACUUUUAUUUUAUAUUGCCUAAUCAUAACAUGGAAUUCAAACAUGGCCUAGAAGUAUAUCUUUAUCGUUAAAGGCAUCGACAUUUACAGCUA